rnacentral:lncRNA from 1 species
GAAGCUCGAAGUUAUAGAUGGGUCCGAGUGAACCAUAUGGUCUACGAUUAUUGUACCGACAAAUCUCGUUUUCCUGUUCCACCUCCAGAAUGCUCGGCUGGAAUAUGAUCCAACAUUAUUGUCUUAAAAGUGCCAAGUGGUUCCGUAAGAAAUGUUGCAAUGUAUGUGAAGUGAUUAAUGAGUCUUGUGGUAUGUGGUAAACUAUUCAUAAUUAAUCUGAUUGUGGUCAAAUGUUCAUGUCUUUGAGUUUUACUUUGUUUUCGUUGUGGAUCUUGUGUUUUACUGAUCUAUUGAAGAGAGAACCAUGUUUGUUUCUCGUUGGAGUAGUAUUUUGGCCUUCGGUUAGAUAUGGAACAGUUUCAUAUGGAAUAUUCAAUCUAAUAAUAUCAUAAGAGAAAAACAAAUCAAUAUUAAACUAAAAUACAUAAAUAAUGAGAAUUAUAGUAUUGAGUAUCAAGAACCCUGCAGUAUAUUUUUUAGUUAGACCAUCUUCUUAUUAUAUAAAAUAUGGUUUUUAAAGUUAGUAACUCAUAAGAUUGUGCCACGUGUCAACUUUAUCGAUCUUCCAUUUUGACAGGUAUUAAACAAAUAUUUAUUUUUAUUAACUUUAAAACUAUAAAGAAUAAUUGUAAUAAAUUAUAAAAUUUUAAAGUAUAAAAAGAUAAUUAUAAUAAAACUAAAAAAAAUUUAAAAUUUAAAUAAGAUAAUUAUAAAACCAAAGUUAGUAACUCAUAAAAUUAGACCACGUGUUAAUUUUAUCGAUCUUAGAUUUUGACACGUGUAAUACUUUAGUAACUCAAAAGAUAAGUUAGUAACUCAUAAGAUUGUUUUAAAUUUUAGUGAAAAUCAUUACUAUUUUCCAAAAUUGAGUUUAAGUGUUAAAUCUAUAUUACGUGAAAACAUACCGAACUUCGAACACUAAAGCUUACAGACCAACUAAGGACAGAAUGCUUAGGAGCGGUUAGUUUUUGAUAUUUUUAAAAUUUAACACUAAAACUAAUUUUUUUUAAAGUAAUAGGGAAAUUAACAAGGUUUUAGUUAAAAUUAUUAAUUAUUUUCUUAAAAUUUAAGUGUUAAAUUUGUUUUAAAUUUUAGUGAAAAUCAUUAUUAUUUUUCAAAAAUGAGUUUAACUGGUAAAUCUAUAUAUUAUGUGAAAACAUACCGAACUUCGAACACCAAAGCUUACGGUCCAACUAAGGAGAGGAUGCCUAGGCGCGAUUAAUUUUCGACGUUUCUAAAAUUUAAAACUAAUUUAUUAAAGAAAAAGUAAAAUUAAUAUGCUUUUAGUUAAAAAUUAUUAAUUAUUUUCUUAAAGUUUAAGUGUUAAAUUUGUUUUUUUAGUUUUAGUGAAAAUUGUUAUUAUUUUUCAAAAAUUAGAUUAAGUGUUAAAUCUAUAUCAUGUGAAAACAUGCCGAACUUCGAACACCAAAGUUUACGGACCAACUAAGGACAGGAUGCUUAGGUGCGAUUAGUUUUCAACGUUUUUAAAAUUUAAAACUUAAACUAAUUUUUUAAAGUAAUAGUAAAAUUAAUUUGAUUUUAGUUAAAAAUUAUUAAUUAUUUUCUUAAAGUUUAAGUGUUAAAUUUAUUUUUUAAAUUUUAGUAAAAAUUGUUAUUAUUUUUCAAAAAUUAGAUUAAGUGUUAAAUCUAUAUUAUGUAAAAACAUACCGAACUUCGAACACCAAAGCUUACGGACCAACUAAAGACAGGAUGCCUAGGCGCGGUUAGUUUUCGACGUUUUUAAAAUUUUAAACUUAAACUAAUUUUUUUAAGUAAUAGUAAAAUUAAUAUGGUUUUAGUUAAAAAUUAUUAAUUGUUUUCAUAAAGUUUAAGUGUUAAAUUUGUUUUUUAAAUUUUAGUGAAAAUUGUUAUUAUUUUCAUAAAUUAGUUUAAGUGUUAAAUCUAUAUUAUGUGAAAACAUGCCGAACUUCGAACACCAAAGCUUACGGACCAACUAAGGACAUGAUGCCUAGGCGCGGUUAGUUUUCGACGUUUUACAAUUUAAAACUUAAACGCAUUUUUUAAAGUAAUAGUUAAAUUAACAUGGUUUUAGUUAAAAAUUAUUAAUUAUUUUCUUAAAGUUUAAGUGUUAAAUUUGUUUUUAAAAUUUUAGUGAAAUUUUUUAUUAUUUUUUAAAAAUUAGUUAAAGUGUUAAAUAUAUUUUACGUGAUAAUAUGUCGAACUUCGAACCAAAGCUUACGGACCAAUUAAGAACAAGAUGCCUAGGCGCGGUUAGUUUUCGACGUUUUUAAAAUUUAACACUUAAACUAAUUUGGAAAAACUAAUAGUGAAAUUAGCAUGGUUUUAGUUAAAAAUUAUUAAUUUUUUAUAACAAAUUAAGUGUUAAAAUCAUUAUUAUUUUUUAAAGAAAAUUAUUACUAUGUUUUAUGAUAAAAAAAAAAAAAAAGGUAAGAAAGGAAAAUAUACCUGGAGGUUGUGAAAUCCUCUGGAGUCGUGGUUGUUCUGAUUCCUCUGGAGUUACGUAAUGAAGAAGAAGAGCGCGUGGGCUCAGUCAUGGGUCAAAAACAAAAUAAAGAAUUGGGCCUCAAAGAUAUCACGAACCUCUCUUCGCUAUCCUCUGGUGAAAUCUUUACGGUGGCUAAAUCAUUAUCCGGUGACGACAGAGGGUUGACGUACGGAGAUCAUCCUUCAAUCAAUGAAACGAUGCUUUCCGCUGCGAACAAUCUAGCUCCUACGGAUCAUGUUGCAGAGAUCAUCAUCGGCUUUUCACGUCUACUAAUUGGAUCAUCAUCAUCAUCAUCGGAAUUCACAUUCGCUCGAGAAGAGAAGAAGAUGUAGAAGCGAGAAUUAGAGAGUUUUGAUUUUAUUUCUCUCAAAGAAGAAAGAAUUAGAAGAAGUUGCGUGAGAGCGUUUUUUUUUUUUUUUCUAUAAGCAAGAGUGUUAAUU